CCUACAGUCAUUCUUCCACACAUAAAGGGAAAACGGACUCACUAGGAGGACUUAGACUCUUUCAGCUUGAACUGUUAGCCAAUGGUGGAAAUGCAAGAAUGCUGAAGUUGUGCCUUCGGAGCCAAUAGAGUGGAUUUGUGUGUCCCACAUGACUGUGUUUCCCCUGUCUUUCACAUGGGCAGUAUUUAGUUCAAUUCAGAACUGCAGAUAGUAUAGCGUGCAGAGCAGCAAUGGGAUGUCUGAGCACAAGUGGCUGACUUCCAGGCGACUUCAGGAAGCACAUUUGUAAUAUUUCUCAUGAAUUAAACGGGAUUCUACACUCUUGACAUCCUCUGACCCUCCUUGUCUCUGCAGAAGGAGACAGCGACCUGCACAGCACAGCAAAACUACAAAUCACCGCAGAGCUGCAGACCUGCAAAGGAAGUGAACUGAGGUCAAUUUGACCAACAUCAUCUGUGUCAGCUUGCCAGAGGUUGAUGAAACAUGUUAUCAGAUCUCCAAGCAAUGAAAACUAUUAUCUCCUACAGAAGAAUGAACCUUCCCAUAUUAUGUUGUUUAUUAGCACCACAUUAACAAUGUGCCACCUCAGCCAAAUGGUCAGGCAGCACCAUGGUCCCAGGUACAAGGAAAAGAUCAUUAUGAAAUUCUACCUGCCUCAUUUGCGCAAAUCAAAAGACCACAAACCUCAGAAAAUCGCUGUGUGGAAGAAACACACUGGGCCAACCUAUCAUGUCGACAGUACACAAAGAACAGCCCAGUUUGGUAUUCUUUCUGCUCUGAAGGACUCUCGUGUCAGGAGGAAGGGAAGAAAUAAACCACCACAAAAACAAAACCUGCUUUCCUCAUGGAAGAAUGGUAACUUUGGACAACAUUUGGCACCACAAGUUCAAAGAGCCAUUUCAUCUGCAUUCCUUAAGGGACAGCAUGUGGAACCUUAAAGCAUGGGACCAGCAAGAUUAUAACAUAUUCAUCCCAAGUCCAAGUGCAGUGCCUUAUUCAAACAACUACGCUGCCUGCUAGUUACCAGGUUGAAUUGAAAACAAAAGUUAUAUUAAAAGACAGCAGGAUCAUUAUUUCUCCCUUCUGCCUACCUCCUCAAGUGCCUGAGGUUAUUUUCCACAACAAAAAUAAAAGCCCU
rnacentral:lncRNA from 14 species